ACGGAAGGCAGCAGUGAGGAAUAUUGGUCAAUGGGCGGAAGCCUGAACCAGCCAAGUCGCGUGAAGGAAGAAGGUAUUAUGUAUUGUAAACUUCUUUAGCAGCAGAGAAAUAAGGUGGACGUGUCCACUGAUGCUAGUAUGCUGAGAAUAAGCAUCGGCUAACUCCGUGCCAGCAGCCGCGGUAAUACGGAGGAUGCGAGCGUUAUCCGGAUUUAUUGGGUUUAAAGGGUGCGCAGGCGGUCUUUUAAGUCAGUGGUCAAAUCGUAGUGCUCAACGCCAUCCCGCCAUUGAUACUGGGAGACUUGAUUGCGGUUGAGGUAGGCGGAAUUCGUCGUGUAGCGGUGAAAUGCAUAGAUAUGACGAAGAACACCGAUUGCGUAGGCAGCUUACCAAGCCGUAAAUGACGCUCAUGCACGAAAGUGCGGGGAUCGAACAGGAUUAGAUACCCUGGUA
rnacentral:rRNA from 1 species